CAAUAGCGUAUAUUUAAGUUGUUGCAGUUAAAAAGCUCGUAGUCGGAUUUUGGCUGAUAACGAUCGGUCCGCCGUUAGGUGUGCACUGAUUGGUCUCAGCUUCCUGGUGAGGAGGUGUGCUUCACGGCCACUUAGUCACCGUGGUUACUUUGAAAAAAUUAGAGUGUUCAAAGCGGGCUUACGCUUGAAUAUAUUAGCAUGGAAUAACACCAUAGGACUCCUGUCCUAUUUCGUUGGUCUCGGGACGGGAGUAAUGAUUAAGAGGAACAGUUGGGGGCAUUCGUAUUUCAUUGUCAGAGGUGAAAUUCUUGGAUUUAUGAAAGACGAACUUCUGCGAAAGCAUUUGCCAAGGAUGUUUUCAUUGA
rnacentral:rRNA from 1 species